UACGGAGGGAGCUAGCGUUGUUCGGAAUUACUGGGCGUAAAGCGCGCGUAGGCGGUCCAUCAAGUCAGAGGUGAAAGCCCGGGGCUCAACCCCGGAACUGCCUUUGAAACUGGCGGACUAGAAUCUUGGAGAGGCGAGUGGAAUUCCGAGUGUAGAGGUGAAAUUCGUAGAUAUUCGGAAGAACACCAGUGGCGAAGGCGACUCGCUGGACAAGUAUUGACGCUGAGGUGCGAAAGCGUGGGGAGCAAACAGG
rnacentral:rRNA from 1 species